UGUAGCUCAGCAGCACAGUACAUGCCUGGCAAGCAUGAGGCCCUGAGUUCGAUUCUCGGUA
rnacentral:tRNA from 1 species